GGUCCCCACUCUCUACUAACCAAUGCCCAAUGGCAAGCAGCCAACUGAGCCAAAGUCCAAACACUGUCCUAGCUUCCCAUUUUUUCAACGGAUUUAUUUCCAAUUUCAACGAGCAACGAGCCAACGACUAUAAUAUUUUUCAAUUCCAAGUUUCUAACACAUAAUCACAAUUCACAAAUUCUAAAAACUAUAUAUACUCCUUCUUUUUAUACUUUUAAUUACAGUUUAUAUAUUUACAGUAGUUAACAAUUAAGAAUCAUCAAUUUCUCUCAAUUCUCA
rnacentral:lncRNA from 1 species